rnacentral:rRNA from 1 species
AUUGAACGCUGGCGGCAUGCUUUACACAUGCAAGUCGAACGGUAACAGGGUGCUUGCACCGCUGACGAGUGGCGAACGGGUGAGUAAUGCGUCGGAACGUGCCGAGUAGUGGGGGAUAACGCAUCGAAAGGUGUGCUAAUACCGCAUACGUACUGAGGUAGAAAGUGGGGGACCUUCGGGCCUCACGCUAUUCGAGCGGCCGACGUCUGAUUAGCUAGUUGGUGAGGUAAAGGCUCACCAAGGCGACGAUCAGUAGCGGGUCUGAGAGGAUGAUCCGCCAACCUGGGACUGAGACACGGCCCAGACGCCUACGGGAGGCAGCAGUGGGGAACUUUGGACAAUGGGCGCAAGCCUGAUCCAGCCAUGCCGCGUGUCUGAAGAAGGCCUUCGGGUUGUAAAGGACUUUUGUCCGGGAGCAAAUACCCAGUGCUAAUAACGCUGGGGGCUGAGAGUACCGGAAGAAUAAGCACCGGCUAACUACGUGCCAGCCGCCGCAGUAACAC